rnacentral:rRNA from 1 species
UACGUAGGUGGCAAGCGUUGUCCGGAAUUAUUGGGCGUAAAGCGCGCGCAGGUGGUUUCUUAAGUCUGAUGUGAAAGCCCACGGCUCAACCGUGGAGGGUCAUUGGAAACUGGGGAACUUGAGUGCAGGAGAGAAGAGUGGAAUUCCACGUGUAGCGGUGAAAUGCGUAGAGAUGUGGAGGAACACCAGUGGCGAAGGCGGCAUCCUGGCCAUGUACUGACGCUCAGGGGCGAAAGCGUGGGGAGCAAACCGG